GAGAUUUCCGAAUGGGGAAACCCAGCAUGAGUUAUGUCAUGUUAUCGAUAUGUGAAUACAUAGCAUAUCAGAAGGCAGACCCGGAGAACUGAAACAUCUUAGUACCCGGAGGAAGAGAAAGAAAAAUCGAUUCCCUGAGUAGCGGCGAGCGAAACGGGAAGAGCCCAAACCAACAAGCUUGCUUGUUGGGGUUGUAGGACACUCUAUACGGAGUUACAAAAGUAUAUAUUAGACGAAUCAUCUGGAAAGUUGAAUCAAAGAAGGUAAUAAUCCUGUAGUCGAAAAUAUAUACUCUCUUGAGUGGAUCCUGAGUACGACGGAGCACGUGAAAUUCCGUCGGAAUCUGGGAGGACCAU
rnacentral:rRNA from 1 species